GAUUUCUGGCUUGAAGCAUUUAGCCGGCCACGGUUUCGUGUGUUAGUGCUUGAUGCUCUGGCCAUCCUUCCAAUCGCUAUUGGCUAUUCUUCAUUGAUGUGUCAGUAGUAUUGGAUCUUUUACUUUGAAAAAAUUAGAGUGUUUCAAGCAGGCUUUAUGCUAUGAAUACAUUAGCAUGGAAUAAUAAUUUAGGACUUCGGUUCUAUUUUGUUGGUUUCUAGGACUGAAGUAAUGAUUGAUAGGGAUAGUUGGGGGUGCUAGUAUUCAGCGGCCAGAGGUGAAAUUCUCGGAUUCGCUGAAGACUAACUUAUGCGAAAGCAUU
rnacentral:rRNA from 1 species